rnacentral:rRNA from 1 species
GGAAGCAAUCGCCUCGUUAUUAAUUCUGAUAAUUUGGAGGUCAUUGAAACCAUGAAUAAUGGCGGACGGUCGGCAGGAGCGGCGGCGGCAGUUUUUGAUGAUUCUAUUUUAAUGGCUUGUGAUUUUCCUAUAUUUAGGUUCGAACAUUAUAAUAGAGAAGAAAAUAAGGUUGUGCACGAACUUGCUAGGUUGGCUAGAUUUUCUUGUACUGUUGAUUGGUUUGAGGAGCCUAUGAAUGGAAUUGUACCAUUCCUCACAAACGAUAUAUCGGUUAUCUCGGUUGAAUAA